UUGGUCUGCCCAAUGAUUAUUUUAAUGGCUGCAGUAUUUUGACUGUACAAAGGUAGCAUAAUCAUUUGUCUUUUAAUUGAAGUCUGGUAUGAAUGGCUGGAUGAAAAAUUUACUUUCUUUAUUUUAAAAAUUAAAUUUGAUUUUUAAGUCAAAAAGCUUAAGUAUAUUUAUAGGACGAGAAGACCCUAUAGAACUUUACUUUUGUUAGUUUAAUUUUUAUUUGAAUAUAAUUUUUAAUUAAACUAAUAAAAGUUUUAUUGGGGUGAUAAAAAAAAUUUUAUAACUUUUUUUAUUUUGGUCACUUAUUUGUGUUUUAUUGAUCCUUUAUUAUGGAAGAAAGAUUAAGUUACCUUAGGGAUAACAGCGUUAUUAUUUUAGAGAGUUCAUAUUGAUAAAAUAGUUUGCGACCUCGAUGUUGGAUUAAAAUUAGUGUCAGGUGUAGAAUAUUGAUUACUGGGUCUGUUCGACCUUUAAUUUUUUACAUGAUCUGAGU
rnacentral:rRNA from 1 species